rnacentral:lncRNA from 10 species
GGGCAGUUACAAGGAGACACGGAGACACAGAGACACAAAGACAGACACACAAAAAAGAGACUGUCAUGUGAAAAGACAGACACACAGAGAGAACAUCGUAAGAAGACAGAGGAGGAGAUUGGAGAGAAGCAACUGUAAGCCAAGGAACACCAAAGACUGCAGGAAACCCCAAAAACUAGGAACAGGGCAUGGAACAGAUUCUACCCAUAUUCUCAGGAAGAGUCCCUGCCAACACCUGGAAUUCAAGCUUCUGGAUUCCAGAUCUAAAAAACCUGGGCUUAGAUAAUGAUUACGCCAAACCACUGGAUUCAAGAAAAAGCUCGUCAUGCCCAACUAUUGCAUGACAGUAUGUGAGAGCCAACCGACUAAAGAUAUUUUAGGAGAAUAAAAUAUUUGGAGAGCAUUGGAGUAAGGACUGUCAUUCCUGGAAUGGAAGCAUUUAAUUAAAAUGACCAUAAGCCUGAAGUGACUGGGGCAUGGGAAUAUCCUUGAUGAGAAGAUAGUGAAGCAUGUAACACCCUGGGAUAGAUGGUGCUGAUGGAACAUUUUGAGGAGACCCAAGUUGUUGGUGGAGGUGAUGGGAGACUCAGGACAACAGAAAGUAUGGGAUUUUCAAUGCUGCAGAAAUGGGGCUGAUAUGGUUUGGCUCUGUCCCCACCCAAAUAUCACCUUGAACUGUAGCUCCCAUAAUUCCCAUGUGUGGUGGGAGGGACCCAGUGGGAGGUAAUUGAAUCAUGGGGGCUGGUUUCUCCCAUGCUAUUCUCAUGAUAGUGAGUAAGUCUCACGAGAUCUGAUGGUUUUAUAAAGGGGAGUUUCCCUACACAAAUUCUGUCUUGCCUGCUGCCAUGUAAGACGUGACUUUGCUCCUUAUUCACCUUCUGCUGCGAUUGUGAUGCCACCCCCAGCCAUGAGUGAGCCAAACUCACUGUUACUGUGAGUCAAUUAAACCUCUUUCCUUUAUAAAUUACUCAGUCUCAGAUAUGUCUUUAUUAGUAGCAUGAGAACGGACUAAUACAGGGGCUCUGUUCUGACUAGGACAGAAAUUUAACACUUGGCAUCACAGAAUGGCCCCAACCUGAGCUAGCAGUGGGUGAAUGGUCAGCUCACAGUACAAGCUGCUUUUGGUAAACGUCUUGCAGACUGCAACCAGCCUAAAGCUAAAAUCACAGUAAAUAAGCAUGAGCGGAUAUAAAAGAGAGAUGAUAGAUUUGUGAUUUGUUGACAUAACCACCAGGACAUCUGUAUCACAAGUGAAAAUUAUAGCCUGAUUCCCAGAUGCUGACCGCC